rnacentral:rRNA from 1 species
UACGUAGGGUGCAAGCGUUAAUCGGAAUUACUGGGCGUAAAGCGCACGUAGGUGGCGCCGUAAGUCGGAUGUGAAAUCCCUCGGCCCAACCGAGGAACUGCGUCCGAUACUGCGGUGCUUGAGGGUCAAAGGGGUGCAUGGAAUUCCCGGUGGAGCGGUGAAAUGCGUUGAUAUCGGGAGGAACGCCGGCGGCGAAAGCGGUGCACUGGUUGACUUCUGACACUCAUGUGCGAAAGCCAGGGGAGCAAACGGG